AAUCAACGCUGGCGGCGUGCCUAACACAUGCAAGUCGAACGAGAAAGUGGAGCAAUCCACAAGUAAAGUGGCGCACGGGUGAGUAACACGUGACUAACCUACCCUUGAGUGGGGGAUAACCUAGGGAAACCUGGGCUAAUACCGCAUAAUACCUAUGGGUCAAAGGAGCAAUUCGCUUUUGGAGGGGGGUCGCGGCAGAUUAGUUAGUUGGCAGGGGUAAUGGCCUACCAAGACGAUGANCUGUAUCCGGCCUGAGAGGGCGCACGGACACACUGGAACUGAAACACGGUCCAGACUCCUACGGGAGGCAGCAGUGGGGAAUUUUGCGCAAUGGGGGAAACCCUGACGCAGCAACGCCGCGUGGAGGAUGAAG
rnacentral:rRNA from 1 species